rnacentral:rRNA from 1 species
UACGUAGGCAGCAAGCGUUGUUCGGAAUUACUGGGCGUAAAGAGUGUGUAGGCGGUGCUCCAAGUCUGGUGUGAAAUCUCCCGGCUUAACUGGGAGGGUGCAUUAGAAACUGGAAUGCUAGAGGAUGGGAGAGUAAGCGGAAUUCCUGGUGUAGCGGUGAAAUGCGUAGAUAUCAGGAGGAACACCUGUGGUGUAGACAGCUUACUGGACCAUUUCUGACGCUGAGAACACGAAAGCGUGGGUAGCAAACAGG